rnacentral:rRNA from 1 species
ACUCAAAUGAAUUGACGGGGGCCCGCACAAGCAGCGGAGCGUGUGGAUUAAUUCGAUGCAACGCGAAGAACCUUACCCAGGCUUGACAUGGACGUGGUAGGAACCCGAAAGGGGACCGACCCGCAAGGGAGCGUUCACAGGUGCUGCAUGGCUGUCGUCAGCUCGUGCCGUGAGGUGUUGGGUUAAGUCCCGCAACGAGCGCAACCCUCGUCCCCAGUUGCCGUUUCUGGGGAGACUGCCGAGUGAACCUCGGAGGAAGGUGGGGAUGACGUCAAGUCCGCAUGGCCCUUACGUCUGGGGCUUCACACACGCUACAAUGGCCGGCACAGCGGGAUGCGACGACGCGAGUCGGAGCCAAUCCCCCAAAACUGGCCUCAGUCCGGAUUGUAGGCUGCAACUCGCCUGCAUGAAGUCGGAGUUGCUAGUAACCGCGCGUCAGCACAGUGCGGUGAAUGCGUUCCCGGGCCUUGUACACACCGCCCGU